rnacentral:rRNA from 1 species
CCUACGGGGGGCAGCAGUGGGGAAUCUUCCGCAAUGGACGAAAGUCUGACGGAGCAACGCCGCGUGAGUGAUGAAGGAUUUCGGUCUGUAAAACUCUGUUGUUUAUGACGAACGUGUAGUGUGUGAAUAAUGCAUUGCAAUGACGGUAGUAAACGAGGAAGCCACGGCUAACUACGUGCCAGCAGCCGCGGUAAUACGUAGGUGGCGAGCGUUGUCCGGAAUUAUUGGGCGUAAAGAGCAUGUAGGCGGCCUAUUAAGUCGAGCGUGAAAAUGCGGGGCUCAACCCCGUAUGGCGCUGGAAACUGGUAGGCUUGAGUGCAGGAGAGGAAAGGGGAAUUCCCAGUGUAGCGGUGAAAUGCGUAGAUAUUGGGAGGAACACCAGUGGCGAAGGCGCCUUUCUGGACUGUGUCUGACGCUGAGAUGCGAAAGCUAGGGUAGCGAACGGGAUUAGAUACCCCAGUAGUC